UGGGGAAUAUUGCACAUGGGCGAAAGCCUGAUGCAGCAACGCCGCGUGCGGGAUGACGGCCUUCGGGUUGNAAACCGCUUUCAGCAGGGACGAAGGUUUUCUGACGGUACCUGCAGAAGAAGCACCGGCUAACUACGUGCCAGCAGCCGCGGUGAUACGUAGGGUGCGAGCGUUGUCCGGAAUUAUUGGGCGUAAAGAGCUUGUAGGCGGUCCGUUGCGUCGGAAGUGAAACUCAGGGGCUUAACCCCUGAGCCUGCUUUCGAUACGGGCGGACUUGAGGGAUGUAGGGGAGAACGGAAUUCCUGGUGGAGCGGUGGAAUGCGCAGAUAUCAGGAGGAACACCAGUGGCGAAGGCGGUUCUCUGGACAUUUCCUGACGCUGAGAAGCGAAAGCGUGGGGAGCAAACAGGCUUA
rnacentral:rRNA from 1 species